UGGUAAAAGGAGUUAACGGCUAAUUGUUUUAUUUUUUUCUAAAAAAUAUAUAUAUAUUUAUUUCUAUUAUAUAUAUAUUUUUUUCUCUGCUCUUUUCUCCCUUAAACUUUUUAGUGAACUUCACCAAGCUUUAUUAAAUAGUUAAAAUUGUAAAAACCUAAGAGAUAUUUUAAAAAAAAAAAAGUGUUAAUAUAAUUGAAUAUAUUGUUUAUUUUUGGGGUUCCCCCUUUGUUGUUGUGAGUGGGGCGCUAAUUAGUGUGGCACCGUUCCUGUUGAUACUGAGCUUUCGCGGCAAAAUGCCCCAAAAGCACUGCAGCUGCUGAGCUGGCGAGAGAGAGAGAGAAGUAGGGGAGGGAGAGACAGAGCCUGUGUGUGUAUGCCUGUGCACUAAUUCUGCCCCAUGUCUCACUCAGGUAUGAGUCGAUGUUAAAAGUGGUUUAUUUAAUGUUUUAUAACUUUAGAGUUGGUUAAAAAAAAUGAAUUAAAAAAAAUAUUUGAAUCAGUUAUUUUUCUCUGUUUUAGUUUAUUGUGUAGUUUAACUGGUCAUGUGCUCUGCCAAUGUUUAACAGUAUAGCUAACUGUUGGUUAUUGAAAAUACAUGUUUUAAAUGUGAGCAUUGUUUCUCCUAUGUGGAGUUAGUUAUACUGCUGUUCUAUUAGCAUUUAGUUCUAUACAAGUGAUCUGUGAAUUUUUUGUAGCUUUCCAUUUUUAUAGUUAUAUGUAUUUUAUGUAUUUUGUGAAUAUAUAUAUAUAUAUAUAUAUAUAUAUAUAUAUAUAUAUAUAUAUAUAUAUAUAUAUAUAUAUAUAUAUAUAUAAAAAAAAAAGCACUGCAGCUGCUGAGCUGGCGAGAGAGAGAGAGAAGUAGGGGAGGGAGAGACAGAGCCUGUGUGUGUAUGCCUGUGCACUAAUUCUGCCCCAUGUCUCACUCAGAAUAAACAACACAGAGCAUCAUA